AGGGGCAUAGCUCAACUGGUAGAGCAGCGGUCUCCAAAACCGCAGGUUGGGGGUUCGAAUCCCUCUGCCCCUGC
rnacentral:tRNA from 1 species